GAUGAAGAACGUAGCGAAAUGCGAUAAGUAAUGUGAAUUGCAGAAUUCAGUGAAUCAUCGAAUCUUUGAACGCACAUUGCGCCCAUUAGCAUUCUAGUGGGCAUGCCUGUUCGAGCGUCAUUUCAACCCUUAAGCCCUGUUGCUUAGCGUUGGGAGCCUACAGUACUGUAGCUCCCCAAAGUUAGUGGCGGAGUCGGUUUCACACUCUAGACGUAGUAAUUUUUUCUCGUCUGUAGUUGAGCCGGUCCCCUGCCGUAAAACACCCAAUUUAUCAAGGUUGACCUCGGAUCAGGUAGGAAUACCCGCUGAACUUAAGCAUAUCAAUAAGCGAGGA
rnacentral:misc_RNA from 1 species